rnacentral:misc_RNA from 1 species
AACUUUUGGCAAUGGAUCUCUUGGUUCUCGCAACGAUGAAGAACGCAGCGAAAUGCGAAAAGUAAUGUGAAUUGCAGAAUUCAGUGAAUCAUCGAAUCUUUGAACGCACAUUGCGCCCCCUGGUAUUCCGGGGAGCAUGCCUGUUUGAGUAUAUGGAACGUAUAUCUUGUGUUGGGGUCUUAAUUUUAGAGAUCCCGGCUCGGAGGAACUGGCCGGUCCGUGGGCGCAAUCCCGCGGUAGGCCCAAACACAGGAAUAGGUCUGGGACGGGGCGGACGAACGCGUGACAAGUCUUUAUGGACAUAACCGCUUAGGAAUCCCCCUCCCAACAACGACCUCUCCAUCGCACAAUUUUGCGGGAGGCUUAACCCCCUCCCCAUCCCUCCAAUCUCAAAUCAGGUAGGAGUACCCGCUGAACUUAAGCAUAUCAAUAAGCGGAGGCU